rnacentral:rRNA from 1 species
ACAGUGGACGCGAGCAUCUUUGUUGUAAGUGUUUAAGAGCGUACGGUGGAUGCCUUGGCACCAGGAGCCGAUGAAGGACGUAGGAGGCUGCGAUAAGCCUCGGGGAGCUGUCAACCGAGCUGAGAUCCGAGGAUGUCCGAAUGGGGAAACCCAGCCACAGUGAUGUGUGGUUACCCGCGCCUGAAUAUAUAGGGCGUGUGGAGGGAACGUGGGGAAGUGAAACAUCUCAGUACCCACAGGAAGAGAAAACAACAUGUGAUUCCGUGAGUAGUGGCGAGCGAAAGCGGAAGAGGCUAAACCAUGGGUGUGUGAUAGCCGGCGGGCGUUGCAUUCGUGGGGUUGUGGGAUCCGUCUUGUCAAUUCUGCCGGAUUGGCCGACAGUGAGAAAUCAUCGUGUUAGUCGAAGUGGUCUGGAACGGCCUGUCGUAGAGGGUGAGAGUCCCGUAGACGAAAACAUGGUGACUGUCGUGACGGACACCCGAGUAGCAGCGGGCCCGUGAAAUCUGCUGUGAAUCUGUCGGGACCACCCGAUAAGCCUGAAUACUCCCUGGUGACCGAUAGCGGACUAGUACCGUGAGGGAAAGGUGAAAAGUACCCCGGGAGGGGAGUGAAAUAGUACCUGAAACCGUGCGCUUACAAUCCGUCAGAGCCUGCGCCACUUUUGGUGGGUGGGUGAUGGCGUGCCUUUUGAAGAAUGAGCCUGCGAGUUAGCGGCAUGUCGCGAGGUUAACCCGUGUGGGGUAGCCGUAGCGAAAGCGAGUCCGAAUAGGGCGUUUGUAGUGGCAUGUUCUAGACCCGAAGCGGAGUGAUCUACCCAUGGCCAGGGUGAAGCGACGGUAAGACGUCGUGGAGGCCCGAACCCACUUAGGUUGAAAACUGAGGGGAUGAGCUGUGGGUAGGGGUGAAAGGCCAAUCAAACUCCGUGAUAGCUGGUUCUCCCCGAAAUGCAUUUAGGUGCAGCGUCGCGUGUUUCACUCUGGAGGUAGAGCUACUGGAUGGCCGAUGGGCCCCACAAGGUUACUGACGUCAGCCAAACUCCGAAUGCCAGAGUGUGAGAGCGCGGCAGUGAGACUGCGGGGGAUAAGCUUCGUAGUCGAGAGGGAAACAGCCCAGAUCGCCGGCUAAGGCCCCUAAGCGUGUACUAAGUGGAAAAGGAUGUGGGGUCGCGAAGACAACCAGGAGGUUGGCUUAGAAGCAGCCACCCUUGAAAGAGUGCGUAAUAGCUCACUGGUCAAGUGAUCCUGCGCCGACAAUGUAGCGGGCUCAAGUACACCGCCGAAGCCGCGGCAUUCA